rnacentral:rRNA from 1 species
CAGAGGUCCCAAGCGUUGUUCGGAUUUACUGGGCGUAAAGGGUGCGUAGGCGGUUGUUUAAGUCUGACGUGAAAUCUCCGGGCUAACCCGGAAACUGCGUUGGAUACUAUUCAACUAGAGGAAUGGAGGGGAGACUGGAAUACUUGGUGUAGCAGUGAAAUGCGUAGAUAUCAAGUGGAACACCAGUGGCGAAGGCGAGUCUCUGGACAUUUCCUGACGCUGAGGCACGAAAGCCAGGGGAGCAAACGGGAUUAGAUACCCCGGUAGUCCUGGCCCUAAACGGUGCGCGUUUGCUGUAAGUGGAAUCGACCCCACUUGUGGCGUAGUUAACACGUUAAACGCGCCGCCUGGGAAGUACGGCCGCAAGGUUA